CCUACGGGGGGCUGCAGUGAGGAAUAUUGGUCAAUGGGCGUAAGCCUGAACCAGCCAAGUCGCGUGAGGGAUGAAGGUUCUAUGGAUCGUAAACUUCUUUUAUAAGGGAAUAAAGUGAGGGACGUGUCCUAUUUUGUAUGUACCUUAUGAAUAAGGAUCGGCUAACUCCGUGCCAGCAGCCGCGGUAAUACGGAGGAUCCGAGCGUUAUCCGGAUUUAUUGGGUUUAAAGGGUGCGUAGGCGGCCUUUUAAGUCAGCGGUGAAAGUCUGUGGCUCAACCAUAGAAGUGCCGUUGAAACUGGGGGGCUUGAGUAUGUGUGAGGCAGGCGGAAUGCGUGGUGUAGCGGUGAAAUGCUUAGAUAUCACGCAGAACCCCGAUUGCGAAGGCAGCCUGCCAGGCCAUGACUGACGCUGAUGCACGAAAGCGUGGGGAUCAAACAGGAUUAGAUACCCUAGUAGUC
rnacentral:rRNA from 1 species